UAAUAAAUUACUUAGAUCUAUUAGAGCUUGAGUUUGUUUAUUCAAUUAUGUUUAUCUCAAUGACAGAUGUUAUGUCUUUGUUGUCCUUUUUAUGGGAGUUUCGAUUUUUCCUUUUUAGGGUUUUUUUUGUUAAUUUCCCUUUAGUUGCUUAUAUAUUGAUGCUCUUGCAAGUAAAAAGAGUUUCGUAUCUACUCGAGGAAGAGGUAUAAUAUACUCCUUUAGCUAUGACAAUUUUUGUACUCGUUAAUAGUAUUUGGAUUAGAAACAGAGCUAGAGAUCGUUAAUAUAAUGACCCUAACUGGUAAAUCUUAGUUAGAGAUUUAAUUUAAGGAUUUAAAUGCCAUAAUUAGAUUCAGUGAGCGAUUUCGAGUAUUUUGACUGUAAUCAUGACUAUGUUAUGAACAGUGCGUUCUGCCGGAGAAUUUACAGUUUUGUGAAUUAACCGGUAGAGCUUAAAAUGAGCAAAAUAAUUUUAGGAACAUAAUUUGAAAAUUCUGAUGACAAAUAUGAGUUCAGAACGAAAAAUUGUAUAGUCUGGCACUUUCCGUGAAAAUCUCGUGAAUAGUGUUUCUACCGGGUAUUUUGUACUGCUGUUUAAGCAACCGGUAGAGUCCAGAAAUAAAUAAUUGAUGAAAUAAGAAUAAGAAAGUCCAAUAUAUGCCAAGCAAGUCAAUAUAGGCCCAAGAAAAUGAUAAGUUUAUAAGUGUUAAGUUUUAAAAGUAAAUAAAGUACAAUUAGUGAUUCACAGUGCAUUUCGUCAAAAACGGUGCAGAAACCAUACUGUGAAUUAUGAAUAUUGUUUUGUAAUAGAUAAAAAUUAAUGUAAAUGAUUUUAGAAAAAUAAAAAUAUGUUCGUAGUUUUAAGUUAGUUCCGGGUCUAUUUAAGUUAAAAUACGCGAUAAAAAAACAUCCGAUGAAAAUGGCCACAUGUGCCUAUAUAGCCUUGUCACUUAAAUGAAACACUAUUCAUUUCAGAUUUUCUUCUUCUCUCUCUUGCAUGGCCGAGCUGCACAUGGAGGGGAAGGGGCUAGGGUUUCAAAUUUUCCUUCUUUGAUUUCUUCAUCAUCCAUCCACCAAAUCCAAUGACCCACCACAUGAAAUUGAUUGGAAACCACUCAAUGAAUCCAUUCCACCUAUCCAUUUGAGCUAUAGUUGAGUGUGUGAAGAGUUAUUCCUCCUCUCAUUUUCGAGUUACUAUUCAUUGGAGGAGAAAAAGUGAGUUUUUGGAUGGAGCUUGGCUUGGAGAUUGCUCUCUAGGCUUUGUACAAGUGUUUAGAGGUGUGCCUAGGGAUUGAGAAGGAUCGGAAAUCUCUUGAAGUGAUAAAAGUAACUUGUUCCACAAGUAAGCGAAUUGGUAAAGCUUCAAGAGGUGCCCAGAUUCCCAGUGAGUCCUCACUAGGCAGGGACACGACACGUGGCUGAGGCAGUUGACAGACCGGAUUUUGAGUGGCUGUAGGCUACUACCUUUUUGGAGUGUUUGAUGUAUUUUAGUAUUUUCGCAUUUGAUGGAUCAUGAUAUUGAUCCUUUAUUUUGUAUAUGGCCUGUAUAUGUUUUGUACACGUCUGUCGCUUUGAUGCAUGUACAUUUGGGUAUUCAGGCACGUUAUGUGAUGAGGUAGUAUUCAGAUA